UCUUCACAAUGACCCUGUAUUAUCAUGCAUGCAUCCAGGAAAAACAAGGGAAUGAUUCGAAUAAUUGCAAACCACCUGUACCAGUUAGCAAUAACAUUUGAUGAUGCUGGUGAAGGCAGGACCGAUCAUUGGAUACUGAAAUGCACGAUGCUCUCCCUUCCUUCAAGGCACUGGAUUCUCGGGGUUCUGGCAGCAGCUGCUUGUUAGCUGGGAAAUGGCUUCUCUAUUCAUGCUCAUUGCUUUGUCCUAUGAUGGAGUGAGGGGAGAGUAAUUGAUACAGGACCCCUAGGUUUUGGCAGAAAGAAAUAAACUUCCUAUUUGGAUACUGUUA